CCUACGGGAGGCAGCAGUGAGGAAUAUUGGUCAAUGGACGAGAGUCUGAACCAGCCAAGUAGCGUGAAGGAUGACUGCCCUAUGGGUUGUCCACUUCUUUUAUAUGGGACUAAAAUGUUCCACGUGUGGGAUUUUGUAUGUACCAUAUGAAUAACGACCGGCUACAUCCGUGCCAGCGGCCGCGGUAAUACGGAGGUUCCGGGCGUUAUCCGGAUUUAUUGGGUUUAAAGGGAGCGUAGGUGGAUUGGUAAGUCAGUUGUGAAAGUUUGCGGCUCAACCGUAAAAUUGCAGUUGAAACUGGCAGUCUUGAGUACAGUAGAGGUAGGCGGAAUUCGUAGUGUAGCGGUGAAAUGCUUAGAUAUCACGAAGAACUCCGAUUGCGAAGGCAGCACACUGGACUGCAACUGACGCUGAGGCUCGAAAGUGUGGGUAUCAAACAGGAUUAGAUACCCGUGUAGUC
rnacentral:rRNA from 1 species